rnacentral:tRNA from 1 species
CUUAAAUAAUUUAAAUAAAAAUAUUGAUUUGUGGGAUCAAAAAUAUGGUUAAUAAGGUAUCAUUUUAAG